AGCGAACGUUAGCGGCACGCCUAACACAUGCAAGUCGCACGAGAAAGGGAGCAAUCCUGAGUAAAGUGGCGCACGGGUGCGUAACACGUAGAUAACCUGCCCUUUGGAGGGGGAUAACGUUCCGAAAGGAGCGCUAAUACCGCAUAACGCUUUUCCCGGUUUGCCGGGGAUUGACAAAGGUAGGGACCCGCAAGGGCCUAUCGCCAGAGGAGGGGUCUGCGGCCCAUCAGCUAGUUGGGGAGGUAAUGGCUCACCAAGGCAGAGACGGGUAGCUGGUCUGAGAGGAUGAUCAGCCACACUGGUACUGGAACACGGACCAGACUCCUACGGGAGGCAGCAGUGGGGAAUCUUGGUCAAUGGGCGCAAGCCUGAACCAGCGAUGCCGCGUGAGUGAUGAAGGCCUUCGGGUUGUAAAGCUCUGUGGGGCGGGACGAAAAAGUCGGUUCUAACAGGACCGAAAUUGACGGUACCGCCUUAGCAAGCACCGGCUAACUCUGUGCCAGCCGCCGCGGUAAUAC
rnacentral:rRNA from 1 species